rnacentral:misc_RNA from 1 species
GUUGAUUCUUGGCUUUACGACUACGUGCAGAGGCUGGAGCUUGCGAGCCGUGAGGCCGAGAGUGUCCACUUUGUCCUCUUCCCCGUCCCUUAGCCUCCACUCAAACUCUUGAACCAUCCUUCCAAUGGUUGUGCAAGCUAUCAGCAUUGCCUUAAGAGCACCUGCACACACCCUCUUCCCUCCUCCAAAGGCCAUGGUUUUGUGGAGAUCCAUUGGAUCAUACUUCUCAUCCAGAAACCUCUCUGGCUUCCAUUCCUCAGGGCUUUCCCAAUGAUUCUUGUCCAUGUUGCACGCGUAAAUGUUCACAGCGAUCUCACUCCCUGCAGGAACAAAGUACCCACCUAACUGGGUAUCUUCAUGUGCAUAUCGCAAUGGGACGACCGGGAC